UGAUAAAUAUGACUAGUUGAAUGACUAUUAUUACGACGACGAUGAAGAAAGUGGUGAAGAGAUUGACAUCGGAGAUCCUAUAAACGACGGGGGAAAAACAUCUUUUACGGAAAUGAUCACAAAAAUUUUCUAUUAAAUCUUCUUCAGAGAACGGCAACCAAGCAUGGAAAAUGUAUCGAAAAAUAUGGAAAACAAUCUCGCUACGAUCUGGAAAUGAAAAUUUGCUUCAACUGCUCGAUUGCGUCAUGCGAUGGGAAUCCAAUGAGACUGGCUCUGUGCCAAGAUUAUCUCGAUUCUACCAUUUUCCUGGGUAACCUUCCACGUCAGAAAAAUAUUUCUACGCCUUAUUGGAUGAUUGGACUCACUGUCGGUUUUAUUGUUCUCUUUUUCGGCUUAAUCUGCGUCAUUGUUCGAUUAUACCACAUGAGGAAGUAUCGUUACAAUAAAACCACUGACGCAACUGACGACCAUUUCAACCUAGGCGGCCCAGUUCCAGGACAUGAGGCGUAAAGUGAAGCAAGCAAGCCUGCAGUGAAAAAUGAAUUAUGUUUUAUGUAGUUUUUCUCUGGAUUUUAUUUGUUUUGUUGUAAAUACUUCCCGUUCGAUUUACUGCAGCAAAUAUUGAGACCUAAUCUAUAAUAAAUUUUUUCCUGGGCCUUGUCCAUCGCAGUUUUUUUCGAUGGAAAAUUUUGACUACUACAACUUAAUUAACACUUCCCAAAAUACAAAAUAAUUAUUGACAGAUUUGGUUUGUGAAUAGACUUGAAAAAUUCAAUUAAAAAUUGGCCAAUAGAUAUCAAAACCAUGGAUACGUAAUAUUGUUUACAAUCAUGUCUGAGAAUCUGACCAAAUAAAAAAAGUCUUUGAUGGGUCUCUUAUAUAUUUUAAUUGUAUGUCAUUUUCUGUUGACAGAAAUGGAUGUUUGAUGUUUGUAUAAGUAAUACAUGUAACUUUAUACAAUUGUAGAAAAAUUUACUUUUAUUUGUUACCAUUUGAAAUCUAAACUCUAAGUUUUUACAAACACCGCAAUCCUCCCCUCGCUGCCCCAUCAAAACAAAAGUAAGAAAAAGAUUUAUGCAACUCAAUAAAAAAAUAAAACUAUGUGGCAUCAGAAAAAAAAAAAGAUAACCUAAAUAUAUAAGUUUCUUCAUUGAUGUACGUGUUGUGUUUAUAAAAAAUAAUCAAAGUGAAUAUGCUCCGCGUUGGUUCCGGAUUUAAAUUUUUUUUUUUUGAAUUUUUUGAAUUUGGGACCUAGUGGACAUGGUGCUUACCUACUGCGCGAUAAUAAUCCAGUCUUGCGUGUGCUAUCUAGCUUUAUAUUGCUAACCAUGCUCUUCUGAUUGCCACAAUCACUAAUUUUAUCAACUUUCGAAAGUAAACGUAUGGAAGUAUAUCAAAAAUUGUAGUGGGGAAAUGAGUGAGUGUGAAUGAUGAAUAAAAUACCAUUUUUUUACAAUUUUUCACAGCUAAAAGUACAUUUUUCACCUUUUACAAUCUUCAAAAAAUUAAAAUUAUGAGGAAUUGCUUUGUAAAUGAUGUUGUACAUUAAAAUAUUCACAAAAUUUUGUUUGUGAUGAUAUUUUUACUAUUUUCGGAGAGUCGGUUUAGUAAAAAUUCAAUAGCAAAGAUCACGUAAUUUGUCACAAAAAAAAAAUUGAAAAUGAGAAUAUAAAUCAUUCAUCAUCGUAUAUCAACUUUGUUUAUUAUGAAACUUGUAUAAAUAUUUGUGAUGCAUGCAUAAUUUUAACAAUAUACAAUUUGGAAUAAAUGAAACGUA